UACAGAGGUCUCAAGCGUUGUUCGGAUUCAUUGGGCGUAAAGGGUGCGUAGGUGGCGCGCUAAGUCAGGUGUGAAAUUUCGGAGCUUAACUCCGAAACUGCAUUUGAUACUGGCGUGCUUGAGGACUGGAGAGGAGACUGGAAUUCAUGGUGUAGCAGUGAAAUGCGUAGAGAUCACGAGGAAGACCAGUGGCGAAGGCGGGUCUCUGGGCCGAAAUUGACGCUGAGGAGCGAAAGCGUGGGGAGCAAACAGG
rnacentral:rRNA from 1 species